UAACCGCGAGUGGGCACAGCUUUCUGAAAUUUUUUGGUCAUUGCAAUGAUCUAGAUCCAGAGAUGAGAAAAUGCUUCAAGAAUGAGUACAUUGGAAAGAGGACGAAGAGCGGAGCAUGGCAGUGCAAUGAGAAAGAGACUUUUUAAUCCUGCAGAGGAAUCUGAAAAAUAAAUUAAAGGCAUAAAAAAAGGGGGGGACCUUGUUUUUUACCCCUUUUCUCCAAGAGAGAGGCAGGAAAGCCUAGUGUGAUCAACAAAUGGCAGUCAUGCUAAGAAAAUAAGAAAUGGGGUUACCAUUUUUGGGCACUCACUGUGGAUACUCUAUGAGCUGUUCUCUUAACAAUCUCAUAUAAUUUUUAAAACAGCACUGUUAGUUAGGUAUCAUUAUCCCAUUUUACAGAUGAGUAAACUGAAGUUCAGAAAGGUUCCCAUAUGGUCAGUGGAUGAAUCAGGAUUAACAGGACCAUAUAAUAAAGCCAUCAUUCUUUAACAGUAUCACGUCAAUCAACAAGACCCUGGCAACCACCGUUCUACUGUCUGUCUCUAUGAAUUUGACUACUCUGGGGACUCCAUACUUGCAACUAUUAGAUGAAUAUAAUCACUCCAAAUCCCCUGGAGAGAAGAUCCUGACUCAGAGAUUACAUAACCUACCAAAAUCAUAUGGAUGGAACUCAUCUAAGAGUCGAUUCCCCUGUUACUGGUGCCAUUCCCAGAAGAAAACAGUGUAAAAAUGAUGUGAAUCCAAGAAAGAAGGGAAAAUGGUAUUGGAAAGCUAAUGGGCUUUAAAAGCUUCCUCAUCUUCAUCUAUGAGCACCCUGAUGGGCAGCAUUAAGCAUCUGGAAAAUGAAAAGUGCUCUCAGAGCACAAUUUUAAUAUUAUUAAGCUUCUCAUGGUGAAUUGAGGUUUCUUAUGCACAAAAGUGCUGAAGAAAAGCUCAACCCUGCCCAGUACUAAUAAUGUAGAAACCAGGGGAUGGGUAGGGGGAGGGACAGCAACACUAAUUGGAAGCUGAUGCAGUGGUGAAAUAGAAAAGCAUUCCCCCUUAGAGUUCAACAGCAAUAAUAAAGGAGGGAGAAGAGAUUUCUCAAGGUGGGUUGAGAUAGAUCCUCAACAAUGAUUUGACUAAUCCCAACUAAUAGGAGUAAUUGUGCCAUUGUGAGCCAUUGUCGGUACAUUUUGUCAUUUGAGGUAAAUCAGGCCUCCUAAGACACCAGAAGCAAAAAUCCCUUUAUCAAUUUGUUAAAUCAUAUUUCAGUAUUUUUGAAGAAAACAUAUUUACUUUCAUAAAAAACACUCUCAGUAAGUAUCCUUUAAUGCUGUAAGAUGAGACAUUUCUUAACCAGCUGAAGUGCUUUUGCAGUUUGACAGGCCAGGGCCCUGGAGAGUCUGGAUGGAACGUGGCAGUCACAGGGGCCGACUGGCAUCAUGCCCUCUGCUGUUUCAUACCCACCCCAGGAGACUGUUUCAUGAUUCCCAGAGUGCCUUCUAGGUGUGGUCACCCCAAAUUCACUGUCCCUUCUUUAAACUACUAAUCCCAGAGCAGAAGUCCUUUCUCUUGUUUCCCCAAAGCCCAAGGAAAUCAGUUUAAAGUUUUCACAAAGAAUUAUACUUAAAAGAGGUGAAAAAGGCAUAAUCAAGAAUGUAUAUUUUUAUGAGAGACCCUACUAUACAAGCCCAAGCAGCUUAGAAUCUUCACUUGGA